rnacentral:tRNA from 1 species
GCAGGAGUGGCGAAAUGGCAGACGCGCUGGACUCAAAAUCCAGUGGGCCCUAAACCCGUGUGGGUUCGAGUCCCACCUUCUGCAC